AAUAGAUACCCGGGUAGUCCACGCCCUAAACGAUGUCUACUAGUUGUCGGGGGGUAACUCCUUCGGUAACGCAGGCUAACGCGUGAAGUAGACCGCCUGGGGAGUACGGUCGCAAGAUUAAAACUCAAAGGAAUUGACGGGGACCCGCACAAGCGGUGGAUGAUGUGGAUUAAUUCGAUGCAACGCGAAAAACCUUACCUACCCUUGACAUGCCACUAACGAAGCAGAGAUGCAUUAGGUGCCCGAAAGGGAAAGUGGACACAGGUGCUGCAUGGCUGUCGUCAGCUCGUGUCGUGGGAUGUUGGGUUAAGUCCCGCAACGAGCGCAACCCUUGCCAAUAGUUGCUACGAAAGGGCACUCUAUUGGGACUGCCGGUGACAAACCGGAGGAAGGUGGGGAUGACGUCAAGUCCUCAUGGCCCUUAUGGGUAGGGCUUCACACGUCAUACAAUGGCUGGUACAGAGGGUUGCCAACCCGGCGAGGGGGGAGCCAAUCCCACAAAACCAGUCGUAGUCCGGAUUGCAGUCUGCAACUCGACUGCAUGAAGUCGGAAC
rnacentral:rRNA from 1 species